GGAGGUUGGUGGUGGACGAGCCACUCGCCAACCGGGUCAGGUCCGGAAGGAAGCAGCCCUAACGAGAUCGGCACGGGUCGCCGUGCCAGCCUCCCAC
rnacentral:SRP_RNA from 1 species